GUACUUACCUGAACGGGGUCGACGACUGAUCAAGAAGAGUCGUGGCCUAGGCUAGUGGUCCACAUUGCAAUUGGUGGAUGCGCUGGCUUUCCUUUGUGGUAGAGGGGGUACGCGUCCGCGCGGCCCCUG
rnacentral:snRNA from 1 species